rnacentral:lncRNA from 1 species
GACAGCUGGUGGUUGGUUGCCUCAGGUCACGUGAUAAGCAGGAGCGUCCUGGUCCUCUCCAAAUGGGGGCCCGGAGUGGCCUAGGGGCGCUAUUUUGUGCAGGUCUGCCCUAACACAUCAAGAAAAAAGAUGGUAUUUUCUAUCUCAUUUUGAACAUUUUUUUUAUCGUUUAAGGAAAGUUUAGUUAUCUUAAGAAAAGUAAUUUUAUUUAAAUUUGAGUUUCAUUAGUUUGAUGAGUAAAAUUAGCAAUUCUUUACAACUGUAAACAUGUUCAGAGACGGACAAGAAAUAGGACGAUAAAUGUGCCCCUUAAAAAAGCUGUCCACAAAGGAGUCUACCUUAUUGAUGAAAACAGUUUUGGGAACAGCCAGUACCUGAGCACCGACAAAACAGAAGUGGGUCAGGAAAGAAUUUUUUGAUUCUAAGGUUUUCAGUGACUAUCUACUCCCAUGGUGGAUGAUGAACUCAAUGACCUGCACAACUGAGAAGCAAAUAUAGUGUAAGGUACUGUCUACAACCGUGAAAAUGAACUCAGGAAAUUCUGUGAAUCGUUUUCCAUUUCAGACAGUGGACCUAGAAGGUCUAAUCCAAAAAAUCAGUUCUUAUGCUAAUGGAAUCCACAAAACAAGUGAGUGCUAAUCACCUGAGAUAUACUUCUCUAUUAAACAAAGAAAAAGAGGGCCCAGUUCG